rfam:Anaerococcus vaginalis ATCC 51170 genomic scaffold SCAFFOLD1, whole genome shotgun sequence.
AUGCACUAGAUGGGGAGUUAGCGGUGCCUUGUAACCUGCAAUCCGCUAUAGCAGGAUUGAAUUCCCAAGUUAGGAUUUUAAAAUAUAUAGUCUGCCUUAAAUAAGCGGUGUUGAUUGAUGGGUCUUACGCAAUAGGAAACUAUGAACCAUGUCAGGACGGGAACGUAGCAGCAUUAAGUAGAUCUUCUUAUGUGCCGUAAGGUCACCUAUCAUGAGCUGGCUGUUUAAGUAACGUAUAGAUUUUAAUUUACGAGCUUGGGUGUGCUU